rnacentral:rRNA from 1 species
AGUGAACGCUGGCGGUAGGCCUAACACAUGCAAGUCGAACGGCAGCACAGUAAGAGCUUGCUCUUACGGGUGGCGAGUGGCGGACGGGUGAGGAAUACAUCGGAAUCUACUUUUUCGUGGGGGAUAACGUAGGGAAACUUACGCUAAUACCGCAUACGACCUACGGGUGAAAGCAGGGGAUCUUCGGACCUUGCGCGAUUGAAUGAGCCGAUGUCGGAUUAGCUAGUUGGCGGGGUAAAGGCCCACCAAGGCGACGAUCCGUAGCUGGUCUGAGAGGAGGAUCAGCCACACUGGAACUGAGACACGGUCCAGACUCCUACGGGAGGCAGCAGUGGGGAAUAUUGGACAAUGGGCGCAAGCCUGAUCCAGCCAUACCGCGUGGGUGAAGAAGGCCUUCGGGUUGUAAAGCCCUUUUGUUGGGAAAGAAAAGCAGCAGGUUAAUACCCCGCUGUUCUGACGGUGCCCAAAGAAUAAGCACCGGCUAACUUCGUG